rnacentral:rRNA from 1 species
GCGAAAACUUUACAAUGCUGGCAACAGCGAUAAGGGAACCUCGAGUGCCAGGUUACAAAUCUGGCUGUCGAGAUGCCUAAAAAGCAUUUCAUAGCAAGGGCCGGGCAAGACCGGUGCCAGCCGCCGCGGUAACACCGGCGGCUCGAGUGGUAACCGUUAUUAUUGGGUCUAAAGGGUCUGUAGCCGGCCGGAUAAGUCACUUGAGAAAUCUGGCAGCUUAACUGUCAGGCUUUCAGGAGAUACUGUCUGGCUCGAGGCCGGGAGAGGUGGGAGGUACUUCAGGGGUAGGGGUGAAAUCUUGUGAUCCUUGAAGGACCACCAGUGGCGAAGGCGUCUUACCAGAACAGACCUGACGGCAAGGGACGAAAGCUAGGGGCACGAACC